GGUGUGUGUCUGUGUGUCUGUGUGUGUACACACACCCAGAAAAGCAGAUGAAACAUUCCAUCCAGUUCAGUUAAAGCAGUCAAAAGUUGACAGCAAUAGAAUCUCAAGUUGAAACAACAACCAGAAUUAUCUAUUAAAGUAUAUUACUUUUAUGGCUAUUGGCUUCACAACAGACAAAAGUGAAAACAACAUGAAUAAAAACGGAACUUAAAAUUAAAUGAAUCCCUACCUCAU
rnacentral:misc_RNA from 1 species